CGGCUGCCGAUAGGUCUGCUACAUUCUCCACAGAUGCAAUAACUGCUUUCACUAUGUGCUUGAAAGCCCUAGUAACCAUCUCAUGGAUGCAAAGUGAUUGUAUGUGAGGAAGCUCAUCUGCCAGUUCAACCACUCGUCCCAGAGAGCACAUCUGCAGUCCCCUUAAAUGCAUGAAGUCAGUCAGUGUACGGCCAUCAACAGGGGAAAGUUCAAGUGAGCCAAAGUCUGUUACCAGCUUUGGCAAAGCAAUUUCAUCAUAAU
rnacentral:misc_RNA from 1 species